AUUUAUAUAGUUUAAAAUAAAACAUUACAUUUUCAAUGUAAAAAUAAUAAAUUAUUUAUAAAUA
rnacentral:tRNA from 1 species